AGUAGUUUGAUCAUGGCUCAGGACGAACGCUGGCGGCGCGCCUAACACAUGCAAGUCGAACGGACGAAGGGAGCUUGCUCCCCGAGUUAGUGGCGGACGGGUGAGUAACACGUGAGCAACCUGCCUUUCAGAGGGGGACAACAGUUGGAAACGACUGCUAAUACCGCAUAACGUGGCUUGGGGGCAUCCCCGGGCUACCAAAGAUUUAUCGCUGAAAGAUGGGCUCGCGUCUGAUUAGAUAGUUGGUGAGGUAACGGCCCACCAAGUCGACGAUCAGUAGCCGGACUGAGAGGUUGAACGGCCACAUUGGGACUGAGACACGGCCCAGACUCC
rnacentral:rRNA from 1 species